AUUAAUCAUUUAAGGUUAUCUAAUCCAGUGGUUCCCAACCUGGGGUCCGGGCACCCCUUAGGGGGGCGGCAAAAAUCACAGGGGGGGCGCAAGUCUUUAUCUGGUUUGAGGUUGAGGUAAAAAAAAAA